rnacentral:misc_RNA from 1 species
GAUGAAGAACGUAGCGAAAUGCGAUAAGUAAUGUGAAUUGCAGAAUUCAGUGAAUCAUCGAAUCAUUGAACGCACAUUGCGCCCCCUGGUAUUCCGGGGGGCAUGCCUGUUCGAGCGUCAUUUCACCACUCAAGCCUCGCUUGGUAUUGGGCAACGCGGUCCGCCGCGUGCCUCAAAUCGACCGGCUGGGUCUUCUGUCCCCUAAGCGUUGUGGAAACUAUUCGCUAAAGGGUGCUCGGGAGGCUACGCCGUAAAACAAACCCAUUUCUAAGGUUGACCUCGGAUCAGGUAGGGAUACCCGCUGAACUUAAGCAUAUCAAUAAGCGGAGGA